GCCGGAGUGACUGAGUCUGGCUAAAAGUGCCAGCCUGGAAAGCUGGUGGGCCAUAACCGGCCCUCUUGGGUUCAAAUCCCAACUCCGGCG
rnacentral:tRNA from 2 species